AUAAGACAUGCUAGUCAAGCGCUUUCUAGCUAAUGUGAGAGCGCGGCGUACAGCUCAGUAACACGUGGCCAACCUGCCCUUGGGACGGGAACACCCCCGGGAAACUGGGGUUAGUUCCCGAUAGGUGAAGAAGUCUGGAAUGACUCUUCGCUCAAAAGACGUUUAUGUCAUGCUCAUAUUCGUCGCCCAGGGAUGGGGCCGCGACCGAUCAGGUAGUUGGUGAGGCAAUGGCUCACCAAGCCUUUUACCGGUGCGGGCCGUGAGAGCGGGAGCCCGGAGAUGGGCACUGAGACAAGGGCCCAGGCCCCACGGGGCGCAGCAGUCGCGAAAAUUUUGCAAUACACGAAAGUGUGACAGAGCUAUCCCGAGUGCCAUCCGCUGAGGAAGGCUUUUACCCAGUAUAAAUAGCUGGGAGAAUAAGGAGAGGGCAAGUCUGGUGUCAGCCGCCGCGGUAAUACCAGCUCUCCGAGUAGUGUGGACGUUUAUUGGGCCUAAAGCAUCCGUAGCUUGCUAGAUAAGUCCUCUGUUAAAUCCACCGAUUCAAUCGUUGGAUUGCGGGGGAUACUGUUUGGCUAGGGGACGGGAGAGGUCGACGGUAUUUCCGGGGUAGGGGUGAAAUCCUAUAAUCCCGGGAGGACCACCAGUGGCGAAGGCUGUCGACUAGAACGCGCCCGACGGUGAGGGAUGAAAGCUGGGGGAGCGAACCGGAUUAGAUACCCGGGUAGUCCCAGCUGUAAACGAUGCANGCUAGGNGNUUUGGGCGGCCACGAGCCGCCCUAGUGCCGCAGGGAAGCUGUUAAGCCUGCCGCCUGGGGAGUACGGCCGCAAGGCUGAAACUUAAAGGAAUUGGCGGGGGAGCACCACAAGGGGUGAAGCUUGCGGUUUAAUUGGAUUCAACGCCGGAAAUCACU
rnacentral:rRNA from 1 species